rnacentral:sRNA from 1 species
GCCUGGAAUGGUGGCGCAUGCCUGUAAUCCUGGUAGCUCUGGAGGCUGAGGCAGGAGGAUCACCAGUUUGGAGGCCAGCCUCAGCAACUUAGCGAGGCCCUAAGCAACUCAGUGAGACCCUGUCUUAA